CUGGAGCCCAGGUUGACAAUGC
rnacentral:miRNA from 1 species